rnacentral:tRNA from 1 species
AGCCCGGUGGUGUAGCGGCCAAGCAAGAGGCCUUGAAUGCCGGCCUUUGGAGCCGGUGACCCCGGUUCGAAUCCGGGCCGGGCUACCA